rnacentral:rRNA from 1 species
GCGCAGGAAAAGAAACCAACAGGGAUUGCCCUAGUAACGGCGAGUGAAGCGGCAACAGCUCAAAUUUGAAAUCUGGUCCUUCGGGGCCCGAGUUGUAAUUUGCAGAGGAUGCUUUUGGCGCGGUGCCUUCCGAGUGCCCUGGAAUGGGACGCCACAGAGGGUGAGAGCCCCGUAUGGUUGGACACCAAGCCUAUGUAAAGCUCCUUCGACGAGUCGAGUAGUUUGGGAAUGCUGCUCAAAAUGGGAGGUAAACCCCUUCUAAAGCUAAAUACUGGCCAGAGACCGAUAGCGCACAAGUAGAGUGAUCGAAAGAUGAAAAGCACUUUGAAAAGAGAGUUAAAAAGCACGUGAAAUUGUUGAAAGGGAAGCGUUUGCGACCAGACUUGCGCCCGUCGAAUCAGCCGUCCCUCGUGGGCGGUGCACUUCGGCGGGCUCAGGCCAGCAUCAGUUUACUGCAGGGGGAGAAAGGCGCUGGGAAUGUGGCUCCUCGGAGUGUUAUAGCCCGGCGCGUAAUACCCCUCGGUGGACUGAGGACCGCGCGAAAGCAAGGAUGCUGGCGUAAUGGUCGUCAGCGACCCGUCUUGAAACACGGACCAAGGAGUCGUCCUAAUAUGCGAGUGUUUGGGUGUCAAACCCCAGCGCGUAAUGAAAGUGAACGGAGGUGAGAGCUUCGGCGCAUCAUCGACCGAUCCUGAUGUUCUCGGAUGGAUUUGA